AUUGAUCGACGGGUGCGUCCUGUCCGAGGUCGUCCACAGGAUCAUCCACGCCGAUCCUGAACAGCGGAUCUAGGACUCUCUGGGGUCCUUUUUUGAGGUAGAUCGAUUUACUUUUUCCUUCCUUUUGCUUCUUUACUUAGCUUAUCCCUUAGCUUUCAUAUUGACUUCUUGACCGUUCUUGCAGAUUAGACACCAGCUCAUCACCAACAUCGAGGCGAUGAAUAACGCC
rnacentral:lncRNA from 1 species